rnacentral:tRNA from 2 species
GGCGCCAUAGCCAAGUGGUAAGGCAGCGGACUGCAAAUCCGCGAUUGCCCCAGUUCAAAUCUGGGUGGCGCCUCCA